GAUGAAGAACGCAGCGAAAUGCGAUAAGUAAUGCGAAUUGCAGAAUUCCAGUGAGUCAUCGAAUCUUUGAACGCACAUUGCGCCCUUUGGUAUUCCGAAGGGCAUGCCUGUUCGAGCGUCAUUAUCACCCCUCAAGCCCCCGGCUUGGUGUUGGAAGGUUUGGUGGAGGCCCCCUCGGGGGCUCCUGCCCCUCCCAAAGACAAUGACGGCGGCCUCGUUGGACCCCCGGUACACUGAGUUCUUCACGGGACACGUAUCGGACACAUGGGUUUACGGGACACGGUCUGCCUCCCCUCAGGGAGAAUCUUUCUAAGGUUGACCUCGGAUCAGGUAGGGAUACCCGCUGAACUUAAGCAUAUCAAUAGCGGAGGA
rnacentral:misc_RNA from 1 species